rnacentral:tRNA from 1 species
GAGGAGCUAGUCUAAAUAAAGACAUCUGAUUUCGGCUCAGAUAAUUAUGGUUCAACCCCAUAGCACCUUU